rnacentral:lncRNA from 1 species
GUGGCAGUUGGAGGCUGCUGUCAAGCGCGCGGCGGCUUAGGGUUUUUUUUGUUUUCUUUUUCUGAAAAUGUUUUGGGCUAUUCUGUUAGGCUAGGGUUUAGGUUUAGUUUGGGUUGUUUAUUGGUUUUGGGCCAUACAAGCCUGCUGGACUUUGUAAAUGGACUGGGGCUUUGUUUUUAUUUUUUAUUUUUUUUGUUUAUUGCUCAAUGGGCCCGGUCAAAUUGGGUCAUUUACAUUACCAACACUAGCUAUUGAGGUCGCUUUCGAACUCACAGGUGGUCUGUCUCGAUCUCAUCUAGAAUAACCCACAGUAGCCUUUGAACGUCUAAAAUCAUCUCAGAACUUCUUUGAAGUCGACUAAAAUGACUUACUCGAUGAUCUUUUUCGUAAAUCUCUAGCUUCA